AUACUUACCUGGCAGAGGAGAUACCUGAUCAUGAAGGUGGUUUUCCCAGAUAGAGGCUUAUCCAUUGCACUCCUGAUGUGCUGACCCCUACGAUUUCCCCAAAUGUGGGAAACUGGACUGCAUAAUUUGUGGUAGUGGGGGACUGUGUACAUGCUUUCCCCUG